rnacentral:lncRNA from 1 species
GGGACUCCUCCACAGUCAAGACUGUGUCUUAUUGGCUAUUCCAUCCCCAGCACAUCACCUAUGCCUGCCACAUGAAUGAGCAGUCAACCUAAGGAUGAAGAGGGAUGAGGAAGCUGUGGGAUUUGGUGCUGGGUGGAGGGGAAGAUGCAGUAGGCCAAGAAAAGCCUCUACCUUCCAAUCUUUUCCUUUUGGGCUGACAGGUACGUUUCAAGGGAAAUUGAAUCUGCACAUUUCAGCUUCAUUUGCACUUAACACAUCUGGCUGGCAGUGGGCAGGAGGCUUUUGAUGUCUGCGUUUCGGUGCCCAAGCCUUUUUAAGCCUCUUUUCUUUGAAGCCAGGGAGACUUGUGUUUCUGCCAAGGAGUAAACAGACUUGUACACCCUCCAGCAAUUUAGUCUUUGGAGACCUGGCUCCCAAAGGCCCUGGGGGCUGGAGGCCCCACUUCUUCAUUUGUUCAGCCUACAAACACUUAUUCAAGACUUACUGUGCAAAAGCUUCCCCAAAACUGCCUUUCAUAGGAAGGGUAUAGAGAGAAACUCUGGCAGAUUUCACAAUCAAACUCACCAAGCUCAUUUGUCUAAGAAGCAAGGGAAGGGAGUCUAUGUCCCACCAAUAUUUUCUAGAGUGACUUUAGCUCCCCGAUAAUUUCAUCAGCCUCUCUACCUUCCCACCCACCUCUAAAGUCAUCCCUUGCUGUUCUUAUUUGUAAUGUGGGCAAAUUGAUGAUUUCUCAAUGUCAUAUGAAGUGUGAAUAAAGCACUUGAGAAAGUG